AUUCCUGCGGAAGCAUGUGUAUCAUUCCCCUAUGGUUUAUAACCCCUGAGUCUGGGGGUAAUGGCACGGGGACCCACCAGCUUGUCUGCCGCCAUCUGGGGUACAGUGCUGGAAGCGGGGAUACAGGGACAAAUAAGACACAGAUCCUGUUCCUAAAGAGGCUGGAGUGCAAUGGCAUGAUCUCAGCUCACUGCAACCUCUGCCUCCCGGGUUCAAGCAAUUCUCCUGUCUCAGCCUCCUGAGUAGCUGGAUUACAGAGAAACACAGAGGAGAGACCCAGAGAGAAGGAGAAGGCCGCAUGAAGAUGGAGCAGAGACUGGAGUUAUUCAGCCAAGUCAAGGAAUGCCUGGAGCACCAGAAGCCGGAAGAGGCAAGGAAGGAUCCUCCCUUAGAGCAUUUGGAAGAGUGUGGCCCUGCCAACACCUUGACUUCAAACUUCUGGCCUCCAUAACUAUGAAAUAAAUUCUUGUUGUUUUAAGCCACC
rnacentral:lncRNA from 1 species